GGCCGCCGGGAGGACGGCGAGGAAAAUACGAUGUUCCUCCACGCGUGCCGCCACCACGGUACCUGCUGCUGCUGCUGCCGGCGGCCUCCCCUACAUGCUGCUUCCGUUGAGGCGGCAAGGAAAGACAGAGUGAUUACUGACAACCGACCGCCAUCCUCUCUCCGGCCGAUCGGUCGCUGGAGCUCCACACCUGGUCCUGGUUGCCGGUGGGGAAGAGCAAGGCCUCCGGGAGGACGGCGAGGAAAAUACGAUGUUCCUCCACGCGUGUCGCCGCUGCGAUACCUGCUGCUGCUGCCGGUGGCCUUCCCUACACGCCGCCCCCGUUGAGGGGUCAGUGCGUGUAUAGGAAAUGAAGGUGCUCAAUUCUGUUGCUGCUUAUGAAUCAAUGGAAACUUCUAUGAAUUGAACGGAUGGAUGAACAUCUCUUGUGUGCAUAGGCGAUAAGGAGGUAUUGCCUUCUGCUACUGCUCCUCGUCUCCGACAGGCUGCUGCUGCUCACUGAUCCCACCCGCGUUGAAGGCCUCCCCAAGCUCCUGCUUGUGGUUGCCGGCCUGACCUGCCGCUGCCAGCCACGUUCGCGACCAGCUGGAG